rnacentral:misc_RNA from 1 species
AAGAGACCCUUGGGAAAAUUAGAUAACGGAUUCAGACUUUAGAGGACUUGAAAGCUCUCUCUCCGGAUUUCUUAACUUUCUGUUUGGUUAUUGAGAAUCUCAACAGGCGAAGAAAAGAGGGACUGACGAUAUCUAGAACUGGAAAGUUGGAUUCUUCAUCUCAGAUAUAAUAUGGCAAUGGCGGACAGCAAUUCUGUGUCUCAUUCUGGGAAUGCCUUAAACCUUGAGUCGGUGAGAGACUCUUUGAUAAGACAAGAGGACACCAUUGUUUUUAGUCUGAUAGAGAGAGCAAGGUAUCCCGUCAAUUCUCGACUGUACAAUCAAACUUUGGGGUUGGUUCCUGGGUUUUCUGGGUCCUUGGUUCACUUCAUUGUUAAGGAAACGGAGGCUAUUCAAGCCAAGGCCGGGAGGUAUGAGAAUCCAGAGGAAAAUCCCUUCUUCCCAAAUGGUCUACCACCCUCAGUGGUGCCGACUCAUAAGUAUCCUCAGGUUUUGCAUCCCGCAGCUGCCUCCAUUAGCAUAAACGAGCACAUAUGGGAUAUAUAUUUUAACCAACUUCUUCCAUUGUUUGUUGCUGAGGGUGAUGAUGGCAACUAUGCGUCAACUGCUGCUAGUGAUCUUAACUGUUUGCAGGCCCUCUCUAGAAGAAUCCAUUAUGGAAAAUAUGUGGCUGAAGUUAAAUUCAGGGAAGCUCCACAAGAUUAUGAACCUCUAAUUCGUGCUAAGGACAGAGAUGCUCUGAUGAACUUGUUGACGUUUAAGAAUGUGGAAGAGAUGGUGAAGAAGAGAGUUGCAAAGAAGGCAACUGUGUUUGGGCAAGAAGUAACCCUUGGAAACAAUAGCAGUGGAAAUUACAAGAUUGAUCCUUUGAUAGUUUCUCAUCUCUAUGCAGAAUGGGUAAUGCCGCUCACCAAGCUUGUUGAAGUUGAGUAUCUCCUUCGCCGACUGGACUGAAAACCUUAUAUCGUUCACGAGUAAUCGAUGAAUAUUUUCAUUAUUCUAAAGAACACAGGAAUCAGAUAUCCAGCCCAUGCAAAAUGUCCCAUUUAGAUAUGGAGAAGCAUGCUCCAGUAUGUUCAUUGGCAUUUCAAUGCAUGUGUUAUGCCUAACUGAUUAUGUAAGAUUUUCAGUCCAGUCGGCGAAGGAGAUACU